CAGUCGCCACGGUAAUACGAAGGGUGCAAGCGUUACUCGGAAUUACUGGGCGUAAAGCGUGCGUAGGCGGUCUGUUAAGUCUGUUGUGAAAUCCCCGGGCUCAACCUGGGAAUGGCAAUGGAUACUGGCAAGCUAGAGUGUGUCAGAGGAUGGUGGAAUUCCCGGUGUAGCGGUGAAAUGCGUAGAGAUCGGGAGGAACAUCAGUGGCGAAGGCGGCCAUCUGGGACAACACUGACGCUGAGGCACGAAAGCGUGGGGAGCAAACAGGAUUAGAUACCCCUGUAGUCCCUGUCUCUUAUAC
rnacentral:rRNA from 1 species